GACUUUUGCUCCUGUACGUACUUCCCAACUUCAACGAGGUUGCCACAAGAAGAACACUUCUCCGGUGGGUUUAGGGUCAGGUAUUUGGAGUGGAGGCUACGAUUUCAAAUAUAUACGAGCAUAGAAGAAGGGUGUGCGGGUGAGGCCGUGAGGGCACCGUCGGUAGAGCAUGGCCGACGGGCAAGGUCGAGAGUCGAAACAGCCCCGAGAGAGUCAACAGAGU
rnacentral:lncRNA from 1 species